rnacentral:lncRNA from 1 species
GGAAGAAACAAAUCUUCCCUACACAAGAAUUCCAAAUAAUAUAGGUAGAUAUACCCCACUGCAAGAGAUGGAGCUUAACAACCCCUUUCUCCUUCCAACGUAGGCUAUAGGGGCUCGCUUCCAAAGAACAGAAUAUGGAAAGAGAAAAAUGAUAGCUUCACUGGGGAGAAACCUGGCAGGCACUCACUACCUUGGCCAAGUAAUGAAGAUUCAAAACACCAGCUGCUAUCAGAUCUGUCAUCCAUUGGCCAACAAUAUCAGGCCAACAACCUCAUGGCCAGCUUGGAUUGGAGUGGAGACUUACUGGAUAUGUGUAUCUACACAUUCCCUAUGGAAUACUCCCUUAGACAUCCCGCAGAGAAGGACAAUUUGGGACAAAGGAAAAACACACGCAGCAAGACUUUGUACCUAUAGACCAACAUCAGCCAAAGUGGAGCAAGCUGCACGGUAAGGAGCAUGGUAGGCCACGUCCAAGGUGCCCCCCGUGGUCCCUGCCUCCUUCCCCUUGCAUGUGGGCUGGACGGAUUCGUGAAGGGAUACUUCUGAGAUGAGGUUGCAAAAAGACUGUAGCCCUGAACUGGAUCUCCCUUUGAGAGAAGCCUCCUGCCACAUUGGGGACUUCCCUACAGGGAGGCCAUGUGGAAAGGAACCGAUGUCUUUGGCCAACAGCCAGUGAGAAAGGAAGGCAUGCUGCACAAUAAGCUUUGGAGAGGAUCCC